GUCAGAAUGGCCGAGCGGUCUAAGGCUCCAGUCUUAAGUUCUGGUCCUCUAAAGAGGGCGUGGGUUCAAAUCCCACUUCUGACA
rnacentral:tRNA from 1 species